rnacentral:rRNA from 1 species
GCCCAGAUGGGAUUAGCUAGUAGGUGGGGUAACGGCUCACCUAGGCGACGAUCCCUAGCUGGUCUGAGAGGAUGACCAGCCACACUGGAACUGAGACACGGUCCAGACUCCUACGGGAGGCAGCAGUGGGGAAUAUUGCACAAUGGGCGCAAGCCUGAUGCAGCCAUGCCGCGUGUAUGAAGAAGGCCUUCGGGUUGUAAAGUACUUUCAGCGGGGAGGAA